UUCAGGGUAAGAUAUGACACUCAGAAGCCAGAAGCAAAAGGCAGAGAUUAAAGAUAGGUUCUGUCUGCUUCAGCGUGACUACAACAGAAAGUCUGGAGGGAUUGCAAACCUAAGAUGAAUACCAGUCAGCAAAACAGUGCUGUUAUUUAAAAGCCUAACAUGGUAAUAUAUUAACGUAAAUAUGACAUGCCAAGCCCAGGAAGUAAGAUUUCGUUUCUACGGCACUGGUGAAGACCUUAUUAACGGAUAGUGUCUAGUUUUGUUCUCAACACUUUAGGGGAAUGUGGCAAAACUGGAGAGAGUCCAACAAAGAGCAACAAAAAUGAUAAAAAGCUGAAAAUAUGGAGGCAAGGAGAGUUGAAACAACUUGCCCGAAAUCCAAAACUGGCUGUCUCCAUUGGAACUCUGGGACCCGGUCUUUCUAGCAUAUUGCUUCCAUCCUGAAACAUGGUGACUGGUGGGGGGAUAUCAGGAUGAUGCAGGAUGAUUGCCCUCAUCGGAUGUGGACCUCUUGAUCUUAGACUUCCCAG
rnacentral:lncRNA from 10 species